GCUUUCAACAUCCCCGUUUCAGGAUGAGCCCGAGGGCGCUGCAAGGCGCACGCGUUCGUGCCUGGAGCUGAAAGC
rnacentral:sRNA from 1 species